UUUGUACUCCAUCCGUCCCAAAAUUCUUGUCUUAAAUUUGUCUAAAUACGGAUGUAUCUAGUUACAUUUUAGUGUUAGAUACAUCCAUAUCUAAACAAAUGUAAGACAAGAAUUUUGGGACGGAGGGAAUACUAC
rnacentral:pre_miRNA from 1 species